CAGUCGCCGCGGGAAUACGAAGGGGGCUAGCGUUGCUCGGAAUGACUGGGCGUAAAGGGCGCGUAGGCGGAUGGCACAGUCAGAUGUGAAAUUCCCGGGCUUAACCUGGGGGCUGCAUUUGAUACGUGUUGUCUAGAGUGAGGAAGAGGGUCGUGGAAUUCCCAGUGUAGAGGUGAAAUUCGUAGAUAUUGGGAAGAACACCGGUGGCGAAGGCGGCGACCUGGUCCUUUACUGACGCUGAGGCGCGAAAGCGUGAGGAGCAAACAGGAUUAGAUACCCGGGUAGUCCCUGUCUCUUAUAC
rnacentral:rRNA from 1 species